GGAAAUGAAGUGCAGCUAUGAAUGUGAUUGGAAAUAUGAGUUUGUGUGUGAAACGGUUGAGUUUAAGGUUGUAAUUAGAGUUUGGUUUUGAAUGCAUCACUGAACUCAGUUGUGCUCUGUUAGAAAUAAGGGAAAUGAAACUGUGUGUGUGUCCUAGGUGUGGCCGCGCCCACCCUCACGGCCUGCCCCCCUCCAGCGUGGAGCUGCAGCAGGGGAAGGCCACACUCGUGUGUUUGGCCAACAAGGGCUUCCCCUCAGACUGGAGGCUGAGCUGGAAGGUGGACGGGAGCAGCUGGAGCUCGGGGGUUAGCCAGAGCCCCGGGCUUCUGCAGAAGGACAAUGGCCUCUACAGCUGGAGCAGCACCCUGACCCUCCAGGAGGACCAGUGGCUAAAGAAGACAGUGACCUGUGAGGCCACCAAGGACUCCCAGACUCCUGUCAGCCAAACCCUGAGGAGAGAGCAAUGCACUGGGCAGUGAGCGUCCACGCAUGUGUUGGAGCUGCUAGAGCUCCUCUUGAUCUUCAGUGAGCUCAAACAUGGCUCUGCUUAAUGCUCUGAUCUUCAUCUCAUCACUUCCUCAUCACAAUAAAGAUCUUCAGUAUUAAUAUCUACA